CUUACAUGACGUUUUUCAUCCAUUUCAAUAUGGCGGUGAUAUGCAGGACAUCAUUUGAAAUGAUUCAAUACUUUCAAGGAAAUAUAGUGCGCAAAUUUGUUGGAAAUUACUGUAGAUUUGUGUUCGAAUUUGAUGAUAAAGACUAAUUUUCAUCAAUUUUUAUAUUUGGAAAACUCUGCCCUUGGUGGUAAGUCUUUGAAUGUCGCGACUUUUGACAAAUACACACGUGUGCAGUAGAAAGCAUUUAUUACCCUUAUUGCCCUGGUUCCAGAGGCUCUUUGCGAAGCGAAAGAAACGAGAGACGAGAACCGGGAGCCUCUAG